rnacentral:lncRNA from 1 species
CCCACCUUGCUGUCCAGUUAGCCUUCGGGAAACUAUACCAGAACCCCCUGAUUCAGCUUGUUACCAAUAACACAGAAAGGGUCAUAAUUGAAGCAUAAAUUUCCAAAAUUUCCAAUAUUAUCAACAACAAAACACCUGUAUAACAACAAAAUGAAAUACAAGGUAACUCAAAAGCAUUCACAAGAUAAUAGUUUCCCAAGUAGCAAAGAAAGUACCUGUCCAGAUGCUAAUGAUGGAAACAUGUUUGGAAACAUUCUAGGAAUGGCUGGGGUGGUACCAGGAAUCUAGCCUGUCAUGGCUAACUGUGUUAGAUCACUCAUUAAGUGAGAAAUUGUUCUUAUUCUUCUAUAUGCAUGUCAUGACUUUCUUUCAUAGUCUAUAUGGUCACUUAUAUGUAAAACGAAUAAUCAAUAACCUAGUUCUACAAGGACUUUGACUCCUAGCAUAUACUCCUGUUAAAAUACCUAAGCUUAACCAAGACAAUUAAUGGUCAAAAUAACCUGAAUACUAGAAAUAAUCGCCAAUUAUUCAUAAAUUACAAUAAGUACCCAAUUUAAUUCCAAAAUCUUAUCUACCAUGACUUGUGAAGAACCGUACUCUACAUGGCAAAAGAAAGGAAAACCAAGAUUUCCUUUUACUUGCAUCCUGCACCAAAUGCUAGUGAAGAUAGGAAUUUACCAUCUUGUUGUUGGGUUCCUCUACGUAGUGAUCGAUCCAUGACAUUGUGAUAGUCUGUCUUGAUCUGGCUAUUGAGUUCAGUAAUUGAUUUACCUACUGUAUGAUCAUUGGCAAAUUAUAUUGGUCGGCUCUUGCAUUUGCUUUACUUCUACUUGAUUUGUUGUUAAGUCAUCUGUGAUAGUGAAAAUUUUCUUUUGCUGCAGCCGACACUUCACUUCUUCCAGAAUGGGAAAAAG